CUAAGAAGCAUGGACGUGUCCUG
rnacentral:siRNA from 1 species